CGCGAUUACUCUUAUAUAACUUUACUGAUGUGCUAAUGGUGUUGCGUCACCCUAUUCAUGAGAUCAAUUAGAUAAACGAAAGCACCAAUGUGCUUAUACAGAUCCAUUAAGAGUUUCGGCCUGAUUAACUACUGUAAUUGCACUGGAUGACAGGGAAGCAAAUGCACACUUCAAUUCCCCAAUCUGGCAUUCAAGACUAAGACAUUUUCUACACAAGUCUCUGUAAAUCCCCAGCCCAGGUUUCAUGGCAGCUUUAAAAUGCCAACCAUGGUCCUGGGUUUGAGGAACUUCAAACAACCAUUGAGAGUUGUCUGCCUCCUGACAUGGAUCUAAAUGAUGGUGAAUGAAACCCCUAAGAAUAUUGCCUCCAGGGCUGGUGGUGGUAAGAAGAAAAAUAGUUUAGUCGACACGUAACAGAUCAUGGAACAGCAAAACCAUCGACUUCUAAAACACAAUGAGGAUGUAACAGACACACUUUUCGAAUCUUUUUAUUUUCCUACUUAUGCACUUCAAAUUUAUUAGGAGUGAUAUUGUCAUGUGUAUCUUAGUCA